rnacentral:rRNA from 1 species
UACGUAGGGUGCGAGCGUUGUCCGGAAUUAUUGGGCGUAAAGAGCUCGUAGGCGGUCUGUCGCGUCGAUCGUGAAAACUUGGGGCUUAACCCUGAGCUUGCGGUCGAUACGGGCAUGACUGGAGUUCGGCAGGGGAGACUGGAAUUCCUGGUGUAGCGGUGAAAUGCGCAGAUAUCAGGAGGAACACCGGUGGCGAAGGCGGGUCUCUGGGCCACUACUGACGCUGAGAAGCGAAAGCAUGGGGAGCGAACAGG